CCUUCGAAGAAGAGGGGGUAUAUUGCUUUGCUCAUGUCGGUCUGUCGGUCGGUCUGUUGGUCCGUCCACCAGGUGGUUGUCAGACGAUAACUCAAGAACGCUUGGGCCUAGGAUCAUGAAACUUCAUAGGUACAUUGAUCAUGACUCGCAGAUGACCCCUAUUGAUUUUGAGGUCACUAGGUCAAAGGUCAAGGUCACGGUGACCUGAAAUAGUAAAAUGGUUUUUGAAUGAUAACUCAAGAACGCAUACGCCUAGGAUCAUGAAACUUCAUGGGUAGAUUGAUCAUGACUCGCAGAUGCCCCCUAUUGAUUUUGAGGUCACUAGGUCAAAGGUCAAGGUCACGGUGACCCGAAAUAGUAAAAUGGUUUUCGGAUGAUAACUCAAGAACGCAUAUGCCUAGGAUCAUGAAACUUCACAGGUAGAUUGAUCAUGACUCACAGAUGACCCCUAUUGAUUUUGAGGUCACAAGGUCAAAGGUCAAGGUCACGGUGACACGAAAUAGUAAAAUGGUUUUUGGAUGAUAACUCAAGAACGCUUUUGCCUAGGAUCAUGACACUUCAUAGGUACAUUGAUCGUGACUCAUAG